rnacentral:rRNA from 1 species
UACGUAGGGUGCAAGCGUUGUCCGGAAUUAUUGGGCGUAAAGAGCUCGUAGGCGGUCUGUCGCGUCGGCUGUGAAAACUCGGGGCUCAACUCCGGGCCUGCAGUGGGUACGGGCAGACUAGAGUGCGGUAGGGGAGACUGGAAUUCCUGGUGUAGCGGUGAAAUGCGCAGAUAUCAGGAGGAACACCGGUGGCGAAGGCGGGUCUCUGGGCCGUAACUGACGCUGAGGAGCGAAAGCGUGGGAGCGAACAGG